UGCCUUCCCCUCCAGCAUUCUGCCUUCUCUCCCCAAAUCCAGUGCUGAUCCAAUUGAGAAAUCUGCUCCUAUUUCACUGGAUUAAUACCUGCAUGCUGUGGAAGACCGAAGGAUUUAGAAGGAUAACGCAAAGCUCCUCUUUGGUUGCCAGUGGCGUGCAUGGCGAUCACCUCCUUCCUGCUGAUGGUGACUUGUAUUGUCAUGGCAUAUAGAUUGAUGAACAAACACUUUUGAGGGUACACAAUGACAUGGUUGGUAUUGUCUUAUAUGCAGAUGUGUUAAUUCAUCUGAAACAGUAUACUAAUUAAUAUGAUUGAUAUAUAGAUUUGAUCAAAGAAAAGAGAGAGAGAGAGAGAGAGAGAGAGAGAGAGAGAGAGAGAAUUGGUUUUGACCACUAGAUUAUUAGAAAAAAAAAGUCAUGGAGAUUUUACAUAUUUAUAUGUCACUCCAUCUGCAAUUUUACAUAAAUUUAAGGAUAAGAGGGGUAUGAUUCAA